AGACAGUUAGUAUAAUAAACAAUACGUUAGUUUGUCGUGCUAAAAACACUUUUACUUAAGUACUGUCUU
rnacentral:tRNA from 1 species